rnacentral:rRNA from 1 species
UACGUAGGGUCCGAGCGUUGUCCGGAAUUAUUGGGCGUAAAGGGCUCGUAGGCGGUUCGUCACGUCGGGAGUGAAAACUCGGAGCUUAACUCCGAGCCUGCUUCCGAUACGGGCAGACUAGAGGUAGGCAGGGGAGAGCGGAACUCCUGGUGUAGCGGUGGAAUGCGCAGAUAUCAGGAAGAACACCGGUGGCGAAGGCGGGUCUCUGGGCAGUAACUGACGCUGAGGAGCGAAAGCGUGGGGAGCGAACAGG